rnacentral:rRNA from 1 species
AGUAAGGGCGACUGAACAGGGAAAAGCUCAGCGCAGAACCUCCCGGGCCCAACAGCCUGCGGCGGAAUGUUGCGUUAAGGGAGAGGUCGGUUUGAAACCCCACAGCCACGCGAUCGCUAAGUCCUGCCACGAGUGGCGUUCCCGACGAAAGGAGGGAUUGUGGCGCCGUGGAGGGUGACAGUCCCGUGUGGACGCGUGCGAUUGCUGUGCAUGGGUAAGGCCUUUCUCCCUGUGAGUCGCGUUGCUUGCACAUGCAGCGCUAAGCAGGUCGUAAACUCGAUCUAAGGCUAAAUAUAUCCACAGAACCGAUAGUAAACAAGUACCGUAAGGGAAAGUUGAAAAGAACUCUGGAGAGAGAGUCAAAAGACCGUGAAACCGCUCAGAGUAUAAGCCGAUGGCGCUAGAAGGCAACCGGUGGCAUGGCGACCUUGGGGCUUCGGCCUCGGGUCGUCCGAAAUGCCUGAGAAUUGGGUAGUUGGAGUGAGUAGCACUGAGCUGCUCGCCCAUCAGGCGGGUCCGUUCAUGGGCGAACACAAGUGGUGUCGUUCCGCUGGCGGGCCCGUGGCUGGACGACUCUCUCGAGGCAUCACACGGUCAUUGCCCACCACAGCUCGUUGCUUGGUCACCCGCUGGGUCUAAGAAGGCAGAUGUUUCAACCAGGGUCCGGGCUUUGAAGGCGCUGGGAUGGGCGAUCUGCGUGCGUUUCCGUUUGCAAGACGGCGCACGCACGCCCGCGCCGUGCUCGCGCCAUCCUGGCUCUGACUGUCGACACAGACGUGGUGUGAUCCAUCCGGCGACGAUGCUGCAAUUGGCCAGACGCAUGCAACCCUCAGCUCCGCCACCAUGUGCCGGUGGUGGAGUACCUGCGGGCAGGCUGUUUGCGUCGCAUGCCCUUGGCAUACGCUCAGCCUGGGGGCUUGGUCUGAUUGGUGAUUCUCUAGCGACCAUCGGUCACGUCUCGAAACACGGGCCAAGGAGUAUAGCAUGUGUGCAAGUCUAAGGGUCUCACAAAACCCGAGGGCGAAGUGAAAGCAAAGGUGUGGCGGCGCUUGCGCCGUCAGCCGUGCAAAUGGUUGCUAGUACCGAGCUGAUCCUGCAUCCCUCGUUGGGAGCAGGCGCAAGCUCCGGGCUCACGCUUUCGUUCGGUUCGCUUUCUUCCUUUGUGGGGACUGUGGACUGAAUGGUGAGCACCGCGGAGCAUGCAUGCUAUGACCCGAAAGAUAGUGAACUAUGCCUGGCGAGGGUGAAGCCCCAGGAAACUGGGGUGGAGGCCCGUAGCCGUUGUGACGUGCAAAUCCAUGGCGUCAGUUGGGCAUAGGGGCGAAAGACCAAUCGAAC